UACGUAGGGGGCGAGCGUUGUCCGGAAUCAUUGGGCGUAAAGCGCGUGUAGGCGGCCCGGUAAGUCCGCUGUGAAAGUCCAGGGCUCAACCCUGGGAUGCCGGUGGAUACUGUCGGGCUCGAGUCCGGAAGAGGCGAGUGGAAUUCCUGGUGUAGCGGUGAAAUGCGCAGAUAUCAGGAAGAACACCCGUGGCGAAGGCGGCUCUCUGGUACGUGACUGACGCUGAGACGCGAAAGCGUGGGGAGCAAACAGG
rnacentral:rRNA from 1 species